GCGGAGGAAAAGAAACCAACAGGGAUUGCCUCAGUAACGGCGAGUGAAGCGGCAUAAGCUCAAAUUUGAAAUCUGGCUCCUUCGGGGCCCGAGUUGUAAUUUGCAGAGGAUGCUUCGGGGGUGGUCGCCGCCUAAGUCCCCUGGAACGGGGCGUCAUAGAGGGUGAGAAUCCCGUCUUUGGUGGGCCGACUGCUCCCGGGUGAAGCUCCUUCGACGAGUCGAGUUGUUUGGGAAUGCAGCUCUAAGCGGGUGGUAAAUUUCAUCUAAAGCUAAAUAUUGGCUGGAGACCGAUAGCGCACAAGUAGAGUGAUCGAAAGACGAAAAGUACUUUGAAAAGAGAGUUAAACAGCACGUGAAAUUGUUGAAAGGGAAGCGCUGGCUGCCAGAUUCGACUUCAGGGGCUCACCGGGCAUGCUUGCCCGGGCACUCCCCUGGAGCCGGGUCAGCAUCGGUUCAGGCGGUCGGUCAAAGGCCCCCGGAAUGUGUCGCCUCUCGGGGCGUCUUAUAGCCGGGGGUGCAAUGCGGCCUGCCCGGACCGAGGAACGCGCUUCGGCACGGAUGCUGGCAUAAUGGCAGUCAGCGGCCCGUCUUGAAACACGGACCAAGGAGUCUAACAUCCACGCGAGUGUUCGGGUGUCAAACCCGUCCGCGCAGUGAAAGCGAACGGAGGUGAGAGCCCUUUAGGGUGCAUCAUCGACCGAUCCUGAAGUCUUCGGAUGGAUUUGAGUAGGAGCGUGGCUGUGGGGACCCGAAAGAUGGUGAACUAUGCCUGAAUAGGGUGAAGCCAGAGGAAACUCUGGUGGAGGCUCGCAGCGGUUCUGACGUGCAAAUCGAUCGUCAAAUUUGGGUAUAGGGGCGAAAGACUAAUCGAACCAUCAUGC
rnacentral:misc_RNA from 1 species